rnacentral:rRNA from 1 species
AGCGAACGCUGGCGGCAGGCUUAACACAUGCAAGUCGAGCGCCCCGCAAGGGGAGCGGCAGACGGGUGAGUAACACGUGGGAACGUGCCUUUUGGUUCGGAACAACCCAGGGAAACUUGGGCUAAUACCGGAUAAGCCCUUACGGGGAAAGGUUUAUCGCCAAAAGAUCGGCCCGCGUCUGAUUAGCUAGUUGGUGGGGUAAUGGCCCACCAAGGCUACGAUCAGUAGCUGGUCUGAGAGGAUGAUCAGCCACAUUGGGACUGAGACACGGCCCAAACUCCUACGGGAGGCAGCAGUGGGGAAUAUUGGACAAUGGGGGCAACCCUGAUCCAGCCAUGCCGCGUGAGUGAUGAUGGCCUUAGGGUUGUAAAGCUCUUUUAGCAGGGAAGAUAAUGACGGUACCUGCAGAAAAAGCCCCGGCUAACUUCGUGCCAGCCGCCGCAGUAA